AAUGGGCGAAAGCCUGAUCCAGCAACGCCGCGUGAGGGAUGACGGCCUUCGGGUUGUAAACCUCUUUCAGCAGGGACGAAGCGAAAGUGACGGUACCUGCAAAAGAAGCACCGGCCAACUACGUGCCAGCAGCCGCGGUAAUACGUAGGGUGCGAGCGUUGUCCGGAAUUAUUGGGCGUAAAGGGCUCGUAGGCGGUUUGUCACGUCGGGAGUGAAAACUCGGGGCUCAACCCCGAGCUUGCUUCCGAUACGGGCUAACUAGAGGUAUGCAGGGGAGAACGGAAUUCCUGGUGUAGCGGUGAAAUGCGCAGAUAUCAGGAGGAACACCGGUGGCGAAGGCGGUUCUCUGGGCAUUACCUGACGCUGAGGAGCGAAAGUGUGGGGAGCGAA
rnacentral:rRNA from 1 species